GCAGCAGGCGCGCAAAUUACCCACUCCCGGCACGGGGAGGUAGUGACGAAAAAUAACGAUACGGGACUCAUCCGAGGCCCCGUAAUCGGAAUGAGUACACUCUAAACCCUUUAACGAGUAUCCAUUGGAGGGCAAGUCUGGUGCCAGCAGCCGCGGUAAUUCCAGCUCCAAUAGCGUAUAUUAAAGUUGUUGCGGUUAAAAAGCUCGUAGUUGGACUUGUGUCCCACGCUGUCGGUUCACCGUUCGUCGGUGUUUAACUGGCAUGCCCGUGCGGACGUCCUGCCGGUGGAUGCGGUCGGCCGUGGGCCUCUGGUCUGCGUGUCGGCGGUCCGAUGCAAUCCUACCGCGGUGCUCUUCACCGAGUGUCGAGGUGGGCCGGCACGUUUACUUUGAACAAAUUAGAGUGCUCAAAGCAGGCAGUGGUUCGCCUGAAUAUUGUGUGCAUGGAAUAAUGGAAUAGGACCUCGGUUCUAUUUUGUUGGUUUUCGGAACCUGAGGUAAUGAUUAAUAGGGACAGACGGGGGCAUUCGUAUUGCGACGUUAGAGGUGAAAUUCUUGGAUCGUCGCAAGACGAACCUAAGCGAAAGCAUUUGCCAUGAGUGUUUUCAUUAAUCAAGAACGAAAGUUAGAGGUUCGAAGGCGAUCAGAUACCGCCCUAGUUCUAACCAUAAACGAUGCCAGCUAGCGAUCCGCCGAAGUUCCUCCGAUGACUCGGCGGGCAGCUUCCGGGAAACCAAAGCUUUUGGGUUCCGGGGGAAGUAUGGUUGCAAAGCUGAAACUUAAAGGAAUUGACGGAAGGGCACCACCAGGAGUGGAGCCUGCGGCUUAAUUUGACUCAACACGGGAAACCUCACCAGGCCCGGACACCGGAAGGAUUGACAGAUUGAUAGCUCUUUCUUGAUUCGGUGGGUGGUGGUGCAUGG
rnacentral:rRNA from 1 species